AUGAGGUGCACCACCGCCCGCCAGCGAGGGCAGCGCGCGUGUGCACGGUGCCAAAAACCGCCCGUUCCGGCAAAGUCACCCCGUGCACCGGAGCCGCUCAGCAAAGGGGGACGCCCCGGCUUGGCGGUGGGGACCUGCUCCGGCUCCCUCGGGCAUCCCAAAUCCCCGGCACCACCCUGCCCAGGAGGUGGCAGCGGCAGGGAGGCGCUGAGGAAACCUGCUCCGCUGCAAGGAGGGCUUUGGAAAGCAACUAAAAGAAACGUGCUGGGAGCCGCACGGCCGCGGCCCGUCGGUUCUGCUGCGGUCCCGUUCCCCGCGGAGCACCCGGCUGCGCGGCGCCGCAGCCCUCUCCCCUCGGCCAGCACGGCCACGACAGGAGUUACGGCAGGGACAGCCUCGAAAGAGAAGCUGCCAUCGGAUCGCGUCCUGCUCCCCCUGCAAAAUAUAGAAAUAUGGAGUAUAUGUUUAUAUAGCAAUUCCCGCAUAUUCAUUUAUGCAUAUAUAAAAUUACUCGCCAUGGGGCCCCUCUCCCGCAGCGCCGAGCCCUUGGCGCCGCCCCGACGAGCCCCAGGGCCGCCUGCCGAGCAGCCACGCGGGGUCCAAGAAAGGAACCGAGGCAAGAAAAAGAAACCGGCCGCCGAACGGGGACAGGUCCGGGCGGGCGCUGCCGCCCCGCUGUGCCAACUGGCCCCGGCGCGGCACAGACACGCGGCACCUCCUGAGCGGCACGGACAGGCCUUGCCCCAGAGACGCGUGGAAGAAGAAGCAGACGCUCACACAGGGUGUAUAUAUCUGUUUUUUGCUUUUAAUGCACUUUUAUUGUCACUCCUUCCGCCUGCUGCUGCAGCCCCACCGGGCCAGCGAGAUGCAGGAUGCAGCUGCCCCCAGCGCAGCUCCCUUCGCUCCCGACUCGCCGAGAGCCGAGAAAAACCCUCGAAACGCCCCUGCUGCUGCAGCGAGAUCCUUAAAGAAGAGACCUCCAUUUUCCACGGGGUCGGUUUCGCCUCCCUCUGUCUCGGCCUGAUCGAGAGGAAGACGGCGCUGACGCUCAGCGCGGCCAGGGCGAGGGCGCAGAGCGGGUCUCCGCUGUCCCUGCCUGCCCUCCCUUCCCCACGUCGCAGCCUCUUUCGCCACUCUCUGCCCCGAAGAGCAGCGGUGUCCCCCAUAAAAAAGUAG
rnacentral:lncRNA from 1 species